rnacentral:rRNA from 1 species
UACGUAGGUCCCGAGCGUUGUCCGGAUUUAUUGGGCGUAAAGCGAGCGCAGGUGGUUUAUUAAGUCUGGUGUAAAAGGCAGUAGCUCAACCAUUGUAUGCAUUGGAAACUGGUAGACUUGAGUGCAGGAGAGGAGAGUAGAAUUCCAUGUGUAGCGGUGAAAUGCGUAGAUAUAUGGAGGAACACCGGUGGCGAAAGCGGCUCUCUGGCCUGUAACUGACACUGAGGCUCGAAAGCGUGGGGAGCAAACAGG